ensembl:miRNA
UGAGGCAGGAGAAUUGCUUGAACCCAGGAGGUGGAGGUUGCAGUGAGCCGAGAUCGAGCCACUGCACUCCAGCCUAGGUGACAUAGCGAGACUC